AACGAACGCUGGCGGCGCGUUUUACGCAUGCAAGUCGAACGGCAUAAGCUGUAGCAAUAUGGUUUAGAGAGUGGCAAACGGGUGAGUAACACGUAGGUGAUCUACCCUCGGACGGGGGAUAGCCCGUGGAAACACGGGGUAAUACCGCAUAAGGCCUCUGGGGUAAAGCUCAGAGGUGAAAGGUGCAAUUGCACCAUCUGGGGAUGAGCCUGGGGCCCAUUAGGUAGUUGGCGGGGUAAGAGCCCACCAAGCCGACGAUGGGUAGCCGGCCUGAGAGGGUGUACGGCCACACUGGAACUGAGACACGGUCCAGACUCCUACGGGAGGCAGCAGCGAAGAAUCUUCCGCAAUGGGGGAAACCCUGACGGAGCGACGCCGCGUGGGCGAUGAAGGUCGUAAGAUUGUAAAGCCCUUUUUUCAGUGAAGAAUAAGGUGGGGAGUGGAAAGCCCCAUCGAUGACGUUAGCUGGAGAAUAAGCCCCGGCCAAUUACGUGCCAGCAGCCGCGGUAA
rnacentral:rRNA from 1 species